GAACGCUGGCGGCGUGCUUAACACAUAGCAAGUCGAACGAGGUGAUUGAAAGCUUGCUUUGAGAACCGAGUGGCAAACGGGUGAGUAACGACGUAGACAACCUGCCGCAAAGAUGGGGACAACGAGUCCGAAAGGACUGCUAAUACCGAAUGUUGUCAGUUUUCCGCAUGGAAGACUGAUUAAAGAUGGCCUCUACUUGUAAGCUAUCGCUUUGCGAUGGGUCUGCGUCUGAUUAGGCUAGUUGGUGGGGUAACGGCCUACCAAGGCGACGAUCAGUAGCCGGUCUGAGAGGAUGAACGGCCACAUUGGAACUGAGACACGGUCCAGACUCCUACGGGAGGCAGCAGUGGGGAAUCUUCCGCAAUGGGCGAAAGCCUGACGGAGCAACGCCGCGUGAGUGAAAAGAAGGGUUUCGGCUCGUAAAGCUCUGUUGACGGGGACGAACGUGCGAGAUGCGAAUAGUUUCUUGCAAUGACGGUACCCGUCGAGGAAGCCACGGCUAACUACGUGCCAGCCGCCGC
rnacentral:rRNA from 1 species